rnacentral:lncRNA from 1 species
GCCUUUUCUAGGGCCGCAUCCACAGCAUAUGGAGGAUCCCAGGGUAGGGGUCUAAUCGGAGCUGCAGCCACCAGCCUUCGCCAGAACCACAGCAACACGGGAUCCGAGCCGUGUUUAUGACCUACACCACAGCUCAUGGCAACACCAGAGCCUCAACCCACUGAGCAAGGCCAGGGAUCGAACCUGCAACCUCAUGGUUCCUAGUUGGAUUCGUCAGCCACUGAGCCACGACGGGAACUCCAAGACCUCUCUUCUUGAUAGCGUUUUAUUUAUAGUUGAAAUAUAUCUUCAGUUGUUUUACUCUUUAAAGUAAGCUGAAUAGGAGUUCCUGUUGUGGCUCAGUGGUUAAUGAAUCUGACUAGGAACCAUGAGGUUGCGGGUUCGAUACCUGGCCUCAUUCAGUGGGUUAAGGAUCUGGCAAGUUGCCGUGAGCUGUGGUGUGGGUCACAGACACAGCUCGGACCCCACGAUGCUGUGGCUGUGGUGUAGGCCAGCAACUGUAGCUCUGAUUAGACCUCUAGCCUGGGAACCUCCACAUGCCUCAGGUAUGGUCCUAGAAAAAACAAAAAAUAAAAUAAAAUAAAAUGUGAUGAAAUUAGGAUGUAUGAUCCUGGAUUAUCCAGGUAGACCCUAUAUGCUUGUAUAGAUACAAGCCAGAAAAUGCUGACUGCCCAGAAACUGGAAGAGACAAGGAAAGAAUUCUCCCCUAGAGCUGAUUGAAGGAGUGUGGUACUGCCAUAACUUGAUUUCAGACUUCUGGUCUCCAGAAUUGUAAGAAAAGAAAUUUCUUUUGUUUUAAGCACCAAGUUUGUGGCAAUUCAUCACACCAGCCAUAGGAAACUAAUUUACUCCCCUACAAGGGAAGGGAACUUUAUCUGUAAUCUCAUCACCUGGAACAUUGUUGGUUAGCACUGAGGUUCUGUAUCUUUACUACAAUUCAGAAUAAUAUACAAAACUUUUAAAAAUUACUAGUGCCCAGACCAAGUAUCCUCCCACAGAAAUUUAGAUUUACUUGCAGUGAGGUGAGGUCUGGGCAUUAAAAAAUACAUACUAAUUUUCUAGAUUAUUUAAUGUGUAAUCAAAGUAGAGAAUUACAGGCAUCAAGAAUGACUGAAUGAUGGAAUUCCUGUUGUGGCUCAGCAGUAAUGAACCUGACUAGUAUCCAUGAGGAGGCCGGUUCUAUCCUUGGCCUCACUUAGUAGGUUAAGGAUCUGGUGUUGCUGUGAGCUGUGGUGUAGAUCACAGACGCAGCUUGGAUCCUGCAGUGGCAGUGGCAGUAUCUGUGGUUGUGGCUGGCAGCUGCAACUCCUAUUUGACCCCUAGCCUGGGAACUUCCAUAUGCCACAGAUACAGUCUUUAAAAAAGAAGAAAAGAAAAGAUUGAAUUAAAAGAGAGCUAUUUAGUAGGGUGUCAUACUAAGAGCAGUAGCUCUGGAAUCAGAUUGCCAGGUGUCCAGUCCCAGCUCGACAAUGUUUCAGCUGUGAGAGCUAAACCAAGCUGCCCAAUUCUCAGUUUUGUCACAUAUAAAAAAAAGAGACAGUAACCUUCAUUUACCAUAUUAUGAAGCUUAAAUAAAAUAAUGCAGAUUUUAAAAACUAUGGUAUGUAAUUCAUUACAAAGUCUUAAUAAAUGUUAGAUCUCAAUGUUAGAAAAAAAUUCGUUUCACAAUUCUUCAAUCAUUUAAAUUUGAGUUAAUUAGGAAGACUAAGGAUUUUCAUCAAAAUAAAUGUUUAAUAUUACAUAAAAUAAAUCUCAUAGUUCAAUUAUUUCAAUUUACUGAGCUUUUCAAAUUCUUAAAUAGUUUAUUACUAGUAACCCAGAGAUUUGCCAAGCAACUUCUUUAAAAAUCCUACAAUUGAAUUCCUUCUAUUGACCCAUACAAUAUGUUCUCUUAAUGUAAUUACAUUAUAAUUCCCUUGUUUAAGUUAAAAUUUGUAUUGCUUUGCAUGGUAGAGAAUGGAGCAACAUUUUGUAUAUAGUGGAGCCAUGCAAAUAUUUCCAAAGUUUGUUCCCCUUUCCCAAAUCCCCAUCUGUUUUGCUGAUGUGCCAAUAUCUGGGGUCUGUUUUUCAUAAUGUCAUUUUGUUUGUGAGGAUGUCUGUUCCUGAGAGUUCACGAGCUGGCUGACAAUGAAAAAGUGAUCACAAUCAGGCCAGGAAAUAUCCUGAAAAAUAAAGCAAAGCCAAGAAAGUCACUGCACCCUGCUGGCCAGUGCACAUGGAGGGCCUAGGAAGAGCAAGGGCAUCAGUUUCAGAAGCUACAGGAGAGGAUCUCCUUCGUGAUUAAAGAAACCUCUAGGGGGAAAGCACUAAAUAUUAGAAUCACAUCACAGCCGCUGAUACUCCUUCCAGAAUGGUUUAAAACAAAAUGAAUCUGUAUGGGAAAACAGUUUCAUCUUACAAAGAAAGAAAGCAAAUAAAAGAAAUUGCAAGUGACAUUUUAAAAAUUGCUCUCUCUGAAACAUCAAGAAAAGGAAGAUGAGAUGAGAGGAGGGAGAAAGACAAAAACAUUUAAAUAUUUAAGUAUUUAUUAGUUUUGUUUCCAUAUUUAACUAGAAGAAGACAGUCUGAGGACUGCCUGGGAUGUAAGUUUGUUUUCCUCUCCGAUUAUUUUGCAUAGCUGAUAAUUCUGUCUAGUUCACUCAACACUGAGUGGGUGAAUAUGUCAGAGAAGAGGAGGGUUUUCUCCCUGUUUUAAAAAAGGAGCAUCAAAAUUCUAGACAAUUUAUCUUUGUUAGAAUUUUACAUAAAAUUUCCAGUGUUCCCUGUAGGUCAGUUUUGUUUAAUGGUCUAUGGUAUAGAUGUAUACAAUUCUUAAAAUUUUAUCUACAUAUGAAAACUGCUGCUGAAAAAAUUUUUAGCAAGAGUAAAUCCCCAAUUGAUGUGAUAAUAAAGAGAAAAUCUUUAAUCUUAGGUUAUUCUAAUUUUAUGCUGAGUAGAAGGCAUGGUUGUUACACUGGAAUUAGAUUUAAAGACAAGUAAGGUCAUCUCUGAUGUAAGAAUUUUCAUACUGAUAGAAAAUAGAAGUUCUUUUCUCUUGGGUAAUGUGACAGUUCUGAUUUCCACAUAGGAGAUGGUAAACAGAGGUUUGAAAAAUGCUCUCAAAGUAGCCUGUGUAACUUCCUUGAUAGCACAUCGCUAGGAAGAAUUUAGACCAUUAUUUCUGCAUUUUUAACCUCCAUUUUAUCAAUAAAUACUUUAGAAAGAACAAGUGAGUUCACAGAGUGCCUGAGAAAUGUGCAAAGAUUCUGGAACAGUCCAACCCAGAUUACACACUGUGGGCCAUCAGCCUGACAGCCAUUGAACAAGGCUUCAUUUGGCAAUAGGAAACCAAGAGGAAAAAUAAAGAAUGCAAUUCCUCUCCAGCCCUGUUUAAUCAUUUUCAAGUAGACUAGCUUAGAACGACAUAAUCUGUAAAAACAUGGCGGUAGGGGAAGAGUAUUUAAAGAAAAAUAGAAACCUAACUUUGGAAAUAUUCCUUUCUCUAGUUGGUUCAGUGCAAAUUAAAGCCCUCAUAAUUAGCUCUAAGCUUUUAAAUCCUUUUUGUAAAAUUCCAUUUUCAGAGGAGAUGUCACCAUGUGCUAUAUCCCUUUGCCCUCCCUCUGGUGAUAGACAGGAAAAGGAGAGUUCCAGAAUCCCGCCUUUUCCCAGCUAGGCACAGCUUUUUCAGCUUGAGGUACAACAAUUGUAGGAAAUGGCGAAUGAUGGAAACUUUUUCCUAGAAGGGGAGUUUGAAGCCUAGAAGAGCCACUCCUAUUUGAGCUAUAACUACUUACAGAAGCAUGAAUCGGAGGAAACUUGCCACAUUGAGAGGGCCCAAACAGACCAACUUGACAGAGGACUAGAUUGUCACUUCCUGAAAGUGAUGGACUAAAACACUCCCAGGAUGCACCUUCCUCUGACAUUUCCUGAACUUUUGCCUCAUUAUUUAUCUACCCCCAGGAUUCAUGAAAGGGAUUACAACCUGCAUUUUUUUUUUAAAGAAUACAUAUAAAAAGCAGCCACUAAUAAUAAUUCUCUGAAGCAAAUUUCCUAGGGUUAGCAUUUCGUACAUGAGGCUAAGUGGCAAAGAAACAACUUAAAGUUAAAUUUGUAUUUUAAAAUGCACCCCUUCCCCC